UACGUAGGUGACCAGCGUUGUCCGGAUUUACUGGGCGUAAAGAGCGCGCAGGCGGUCGUUCAAGUCGAGUGUGAAAGCCCCCGGCUCAACUGGGGAGGGUCACUCGAUACUGAUCGACUUGAAGGCAGGAGAGGGAAGCGGAAUUCCCGGUGUAGUGGUGAAAUGCGUAGAUAUCGGGAGGAACACCGGUGGCGAAGGCGGCCUUCUGGACAGUAACUGACGCUGAGACGCGAAAGCGUGGGGAGCAAACAGG
rnacentral:rRNA from 1 species